CUGUCCUUAGUACGAGAGGACCGGGAUGGACAUACCUCUGGUGUACCAGUUGUCGUGCCAACGGCAUAGCUGGGUAGCUAUGUGUGGACGGGAUAAGUGCUGAAAGCAUCUAAGCAUGAAGCCCCCCUCAAGAUGAGAUUUCCCAACUUCGGUUAUAAGAUCCCUCAAAGAUGAUGAGGUUAAUAGGUUCGAGGUGGAAGCAUGGUGACAUGUGCAGCUGACGAAUACUAAUCGAUCGAAGACUUAAUCAAAA
rnacentral:rRNA from 1 species